GGAGUUUGGGCCGUGUCUCAGUCCCAAUGUGGCCGGUCAACCUCUCAGUUCGGCUACUGAUCGUCGCCUUGGUGGGCCGUUACCUCACCAACUAGCUAAUCAGACGCGGGUCCAUCUGCUAUCGGAUUGCUCCUUUCACAUCAGAGAGAUGCCUCUCCGAUGUCGUAUGCGGUAUUAGCAGUCAUUUCUAACUGUUGUCCCCCAAUACCAGGUAGGUUACCCACGCGUUACUCACCCGUCCGCCACUAAGUUUAAAAUCACUAGGUUUCAUCUAAACUCCGUUCGACUUGCAUGUGUUAUGCGCGCCGCCAGCGUUCAUC
rnacentral:rRNA from 1 species